GACGAACGCUGGCGGCGUGCUUAACACAUGCAAGUCGAACGGAAAGGCCCUGCUUGCAGGGUACUCGAGUGGCGAACGGGUGAGUAACACGUGGGUGAUCUGCCCUGCACUUCGGGAUAAGCCUGGGAAACUGGGUCUAAUACCGGAUAGGAGCCAUUUUUAGUGGGAUGGUUGGAAAGUUUUUUCGGUGUAGGAUGAGCUCGCGGCCUAUCAGCUUGUUGGUGGGGUAAUGGCCUACCAAGGCGGCGACGGGUAGCCGGCCUGAGAGGGUGGACGGCCACAUUGGGACUGAGAGACGGCCCAGACUCCGACGGGAGGCAGAAGUGGGGAAUAUUGCACAAUGGGCGCAAGCCUGAUGCAGCGACGCCGCGGGGGGGAUGACGGCCUUCGGGUUGAAAACUCCUUUCGCUAGGGACGAAGCUUUUUGUGACGGUACCUAGAGAAGAAGCACCGGCUAACUACGUG
rnacentral:rRNA from 1 species